GGGCUCGUAGCUCAGGGGUAGAGCAUUCGCUUGAUAAGCGAGGGGUCGGAGGUUCGAGACCUCCCGGGCCCA
rnacentral:tRNA from 2 species